rnacentral:rRNA from 1 species
GACGUAGGGCGCGAGCGUUGUCCGGAUUUAUUGGGCGUAAAGAGCUCGUAGGCGGCUUGUCGCGUCGACUGUGAAAACCCGCGGCUCAACUGCGGGCCUGCAGCCGAUACGGGGCAGGCUAGAGUUCGGUAGGGGGAGACUGGAAUUCCUGGUGUAGCGGUGAAAUGCGUAGAUAUCGGGAGGAACACCAGAGGCGAAGGCGGCGCACUGGACAGCAACUGACACUCAAACUGCGAAAGCGUGGGGGAGCAAACAGG